UGUAGUCAUAUGCUUGUCUCAAAGACUAAGCCAUGCAUGUCUAAGUAUAAGCAAUCAUACUGUGAAACUGCGAAUGGCUCAUUAAAUCAGUUAUCGUUUAUUUGAUAGUACCUUUACCUGGAUAACCGUGGUAAUUCUAGAGCUAAUACAUGCUAAAAAUCCCGACUUCGGAAGGGAUGUAUUUAUUAGAUAAAAAACCAAUGCCCUUCGGGGCUCCUUGGUGAUUCAUAAUAACUUAACGAAUCGCAUGGCCUUGCGCCGGCGAUGGUUCAUUCAAAUUUCUGCCCUAUCAACUUUCGAUGGUAGGAUAGUGGCCUACCAUGGUCUCAACGGGUAACGGGGAAUUAGGGUUCUAUUCCGGAGAGGGAGCCUGAGAAACGGCUACCACAUCCAAGGAAGGCAGCAGGCGCGCAAAUUACCCAGUCCCAAUUCGGGGAGGUAGUGGCAAUAAAUACUGAUACAGGGCUCUUUUGGGUCUUGUAAUUGGAAUGAGUACAAUC
rnacentral:rRNA from 1 species